AGCGAACGCUGGCGGCAGGCCUAACACAUGCAAGUCGAACGAACUCUUCGGAGUUAGUGGCGGACGGGUGCGUAACACGUGGGAACGUGCCUUUUGGUUCGGAAUAACUCAGGGAAACUUGUGCUAAUACCGAAUGUGCUCUUCGGGGGAAAGAGUUAUCGCCAUUAGAGCGGCCCGCGUCUGUUUAGCUAGUUGGUGAGGUAACGGCUCACCAAGGCGACGAUCAGUAGCUGGUCUGAGAGGAUGACCAGCCACACUGGGAAUGAGACACGGUCCAGACUGCGACAGGAGGCAGCAGUGUGGAAUCUUGCGCAAUGGGCGAAAGCCUGACGCAGCCAUGCCGGGUGAAUGAUUAAGGGCUUAGGAUCGUAUAAUUCUGUCACCGGGGACGAUAGUGACGGUACCCGGAGAAGAAGCCCCGGCUAACUUCGUG
rnacentral:rRNA from 1 species